rnacentral:lncRNA from 1 species
AAGCACUAGAUGAAAAAUUCAUCAAAAAGUGGGAAUUAUGGUAAUAACAGAUCUUAAUAUUUUAAAGAAUUUAUAGGAACUAAACGACAGCAAAGCAUUGUUGAAAGUCUUUGUGGUUUUCGACUGAUAAUUCUCAGUCAUCUCCAACCAUUUCCUUCCUAAUUGUGUCACCGAGUUGUCCUACAGUGAUCUGUUUCAGAUAGUCUCCUGAGUUAAUUUUGCCAAGCGGGAGACCUGCCCUAAUUCAGGCAGCCUUUGAGCCUCCUGCAUCUCACAGCAACCAGGUCCUUCCGGGGAGACUUCAGAACAUCAUGUUCUGGAGCACAGCAGAAAGAGUGUUCCACAGGGCCUUGAGCCAGCUUCUCUACCAUGUUUUGUGGGUUCAGAUCCACCAAGGCUAUGCAAGAAUUUGAGGCAUCCUUAUUUUAAUCAGUUUAAACCAAUAUAUUAUACAAGAAGAACUAAUUUCUCUAAUGUUUAUCAGCUCCAGUUUCUUCCACCACAGUGGUUGUACGUUUUAAUAGAACACAACAACAACAUCAACAACAACAUCAACAACAACAUCAUCAACAACAACAUGAUGGCAAGUGUUUCUGUGUUAAUUCAGUUGAGACACAGUGGUCAAAGCCAGCAGCACAGUUAGAUGUGUGUUAGUAGAGAGAUAGGCUCUCAGUGAGUACAGGGAUUUCUAGAGGCCUGGUGGUUCCAAAAACUUCAGCCCCUUCACUGUCAUGGAGACCACCUGUGCACAGGUGUCUGAGACGAAGCAAAAUAAACGAACACUAGCAUGUUAAAGGUGACUAGGGAGCCCUGAACCCGACUAGGGAGCCUUAAAGGUGACUAGCGAGGGUCUCACCAUGGCAUAUAAAAAGUCCAGUGACCCCUUUGGUUUUACAAGAAAACCUCUUAAGGCAAAACUAGGAGUUGCUUGCAAGAUUUAGAUAAUAGAAACCACAGGCAAAAUAAUAACAAUAGAUAUUUAUUACAUGUCAUCUUUAUUGAUUUUUUUUCCAUGCUGGGUAUUGAACCCAGGGCUUCAUACAGGUGAGGCUCUACCACGGUGACACCUCCCUGGCUUUUAGUUGGCUAUUUUUGGAAGAGAGUUUCACUCACAGGUUACUAAAAUGGUUCUCAGGGGAUUCACAUAUGUAGAUCUUUGUCUUUCAUUUUUCUUUUCUUUUUAUCUUUAAAAUACUUGAUUUAGCAGAAUAGUUAUUGAACUAAUCAGUCAAUUAAUACUGUUAAUGAUAAUCUUACUUCUUUAUAUGAAAAAAGUUGUAGCAAGCCAGGAAGGUCAUACAGUUUGCUCCCAGACCAUAAAAAAGAUGUAAAUGCCUUUGCUUUAGCCACGGAGGGAAAACAAUGUUUGUCCGCUUAGCAGAUCCCUGGAGACUUACAAAGGGUUGUUCCUGGACUUUUCUGUUUGUCCUUAACACCGGUAAAUAAAUAUUGAGUUUUAAUUGGUUCCAGAAGAUGCAGUAGCAGUGGAGGGGGAGAGGGCAGAGGACAUUUCACAGUGAGGAGAAGGAUGAGGUGUGGGAAGAGUGAUAAGCAUAGGGCAGAGCAGAGCCUUAGUGGAAGAAGGGAGAUGCUGCAGCCUCCGAAGACUGCAUUCAGUGGGGAUGCAGGCACUCAGACACCCUAGACAGCCAACACUCUCAGGUCCUGGCUGAGUUUUGGGAUGUAUUUGCUACAGCUUAGGGGCAGAAAUUAAGGUUAGUAAAGUUGGGUCGUGAGUCACCUGGCAUGUAGACCUUAGCAGGUAAGAAUGGUGCAGCUGAACUGGAGGCACCCAGGAAAGACCUUGGCAUCUUUGAUACGAGCCAUGUGCAAGGGCCAGUGGAGAGUCUGCCUGUGUCAGUGCUGCACCUUUUGAUAAUUUGGUCCAAUUCAAAUCAGCGUCUUCUUUCCCCUCUGUAUGAUGUAAUUUUGAUUCUUGGAAGUAUUCCAGGAGAUAAUUAGGAAAAAUUAAUGCACAUUGAAAACUGCACAAUCUUUAAUCUUAAUUUUCAUCGAAAUGGAAACUCAACGUCAAAUUACAAACAGACUUAUUAAACAGCCACCGUUCUUCUCACUUCUGGAAGUUUGUCUAUUUGUAAUUGCUAAUUUUUAUUCAUUUCCUCAAAAGUGUGUGUCUAAUACUUUCCUAAAAUACUGAUGUACUGGAAACUCAAAUAAAUUGCCGUAUGUGUAGAACAUAUUUGUGUAUUGUGUGCUUUUAAUACGGGGUGCAAAUGUCACACUGUUGGUAGAUUUCAGGUGGGGCAUGUUGAGGAUAACCCGUGUGCUAGGUGACGACAUGGAGAGGCAGGCAUUCCAGGGGACUGAAAAUUCCUGAAUCCUGACCAAACAUGUGUAUGUAAUCUCCCUGCAGGGAACAAACCGGGCUGUGUGUGAGCCACUAAACCCGUU